CUAGACAGAAGGAAGAGAGGAAUUAAAGACAAGGCUAUGAUUGCGAGUUUAGGCGAUAGAGAAAAAAAGGAAGGAUGUAGCAGGAAAAGUGUCAUUAGGAAGAAGACAAAAUGCUUCAUCCAUUAAGAAGAAAUGUCAGGACUUUUCAGGAAAUGUAUACCUGCUUCUGAGAUUAUUACGACUUCUAGCAAUCUUAUAUCUACAGUUUUAGUGGCAGUGGUACAAAAUGAGAAGUCUCCCCAAGGAACAGAGACUGGAGAGCUUUGAAAAAAAUAUUAAAUUGCUGCCUCAAAUCAUAAUAUAUGACCAUUAGCUCCCCUCUAAAGUACAAUAUCCCCCACUGCCAAAAAACAAACCCACCACGACCACAAGACUAUGAAAGCAAGACACUCCACUGUAUGUGCUUCUCCACAGGGGAGAGGAGGUGAAAACAAACAACACGAGGGAAGGUUCUCCCAUUGAUCCAGUAACUGUUUGAAAGAUAGGAAACAAAGGGUACGAAUAAACAGUCAAUUUUCACAGUAGAGUGAGAUAAAUAGUGGGAGUCUCCCAACAAUCUGUACUGGGACUGUACACUGCUGUUCAACAUAUUCAGAAAUGAUCUGGAAAAAGGGGUAAACAGUGAGGUGACAAAUUUUGCAGAUGAUACACAAUUACUCAAGAUAGUAAAGUCCAAAGCUGAUUGUGAAGAGUUACAAAGAAAUCCCACAAAACUGGGUGACUGGGCCACAAAAUGGCAGAUGAAAUUCAAUGUGGAUAAAUGCACAACUCAACUAUAAUCUCAACUAUACAGGCAAAACGAUGGGGUCUAAAUUAAUUGUUACCAUUCAAGGUACAGAUCUUGGGGUCAUUGUGGAUAGUUCUCUGAAAACAUCUUCUCAAUGUGCAGUGGCAGCCAAAAAAGCAAACAGAAUAUUAGGAACCAUAACGAAAGGGAUAGAUAAUAAGUCAGUAAACAUCUUAAUGACCCUAUAGAAAUCUAUGGUAUGACCAUACCUUGCUGAAAUUCUGGUCACCCCGUCUAAAAAUAUAUAUAUUAUGAUGGGGAAAAGUACAGAGAAGACCAACAGAAGUUGGUCCAAUAAAAUAUAUUACCUCACCCAUCUUGUCUCUCUAAUAUCCUAGUACCAACUCAGCUCCAACACCACUGCAUAUAACCUCUGUAUAUGACAUUUUUUUGUCUGCUCUACUUUUGUUUGGUUAAUGUUCACAUGAUGAAUCUCUAAUCCAUCCUCAGUUGAGCUAGGAAUACCUAAAUUAGAUUCCAAAACUCAUAUCUUCCUCAUGUCUUGUCAUUUAUUGGUUACUCAAAAACAACAACAAAAUCCCAGUUUAGGACUGUUUCUAGUUUAAAUGAAUUUGAAGAAGUUACAGACUAUUCAUGAGAAAAGGUAUUGGGUAAUUGAGGUAGGGGACUUUAGCCCCCUUUCUCCUUCCCAACCCUAAAAAUAGGGAUUGUAUUAAUAAACAAAGAAAACACUAAGUUUGGAACAGUGUUGGAUCAUAUUAAAGAAGUUCUGUAUUAAAAUCACAAAUGAGUUUGAUUCCCCAUAGUUUAAAUUCCAGGGUAUUACUAAUUAAGAGGUCUCUUGUUUUUUGGUCUCUUAUUUUUACUGUUUCUCUCCCUCUCUGUGUGAAACUUGCAAACUGCUACUUGUGUUAGUAUGUUCUAAAACAGAGUCUGUUCUCAAAGCAAUACUUCGUAACAACAACUACUGACAGAGAGAGAGAGAGACUCAAAGCGAUACUUGGUAACAACAGAAACAGCACACAGAGACUCCCCGCCCUUUUGUUGUAUUUAUCUCGCUUUGUUAACAAUUGUGAUUAAAAUAGAGAUUGUGGAUGGAUGCUUGGUGUGGAUAAUAAAUGAAUAAUCAGGGAGGUGCCAGCCUAGGAGUUCAGUAUUGAUCGGCCGAAGAAUGCGCAGAGUGGAGACAACCAGAGGGCCCCCGGAGGGCAGACUGGAAUCCACCCAACAGCCUCAAGGAUGGGAGCACCGAAGAACAAGAUAAUAGCUGGCAGCAUGGAGGCAUCAGGGAUGUGCCAUCUGCUGAUUGAUUCAGCAACAGCAUGAUGAAGCAAUUCCCAUAGACUGGCAUAGGAAUAAAUUCCUAUAAAAAUGGACUCUAGAAACUGAGAACUUUGGGGUCUGAUUCUGCAAACCAACUUCCAGGAGCAUCAGAUGAGCAUCUGACAAGGCCCUGCUCCCUCCUCGUAUCCAGGCCACCUGGCCAGUGGCUUGGCACGAGCAAUUUUAAGGCUGGUAACUAUAAUAACAACCUUGCAGAACCUGUGUGUGUGUGUAUGAAUGAAUGUGUGAAUAAAUAUGAAAUUGAAUGGAAUGUUAUAGCUAUAACUAACUGCUUACUGUGAUUCUUUCUGUAUUCACAGUAAAUGUGGCAUUUUGCCUUAUUCCCGUUAAUAAGAUCCUGCUGGUUUUUAUUUUAUUGGUAUAACAACAGAAGCUCAUUUAUUUCAUUUUAUUAAAAAUGGACAAAUUCAGUCAUGAUACAAACUGUUCAUUAAAGUGUUAUUCAACA